rnacentral:lncRNA from 1 species
UUUAAUCUCAGCUUAAAAUAAGGAGAGAUGUCAAAAAUAUUUUUUUCUUGAAACCCGGAAAUUUUUGAUAAUUGUUCUUUUGCAGUAAAAAGUCAAGAGAAUUCACUUAGGGUGAGUAAAAGAUAAGUUAGGGAGAACGAAAAUGAGAAUCGGUAAGUGCCACAACUCUUGAAAAACCGAGCAAGCAUUGAAAAAAAAAUAAAAAAAUUAGAAAAGAGAAACAUCUGUUUUGUGAAUACGAUGUGAAAAGAAAAGAAAAAAAUAGAGAAAAUGAAAAUGAAUGCUUGCUUGGAAGAAAAAUAGUGAAAAACAAAAACUGAG